GAAGUCUUAUAUUGUGAACCUACUGUUACUUACCAUUCUGACAAGAUAAGGUUGAGUUCAGAAGUUCGCUAAUUGUGUGAUGAAAGUGACCGGAGUUGUUUGUGUCAGUCGUGCAGAGGAAAUCAUAGUCAAUUAAAUCUGUAGUGGUGCAAGUGCAGCGGGAAUAGAAUUUCCAAUUGUCAAGUAAUGAAGUUUCUGUUAGCGGGAAGGAUUCAGGAGCUACACUAUCUGAAUCUACAAAGAUUGGAAAAAGUAUCAAAGAAGAGUCAUCGAAGCGAAUCAAUGAAAGCUUGUUUGAGGGUAACAAAACUCCAGUACCAUUACCUGUUUCAUCCAAAACAUUUGAGGGAGCCGCAUACGACACGAAGUGGUAAGUAGCGAAAAUCAUUGUU